rnacentral:rRNA from 2 species
UUCGGGUACACGAGCGGCGAACGGGUGAGUAACACGUGAGCAACCUGCCCCCGACUCCGGGAUAAGCGGUGGAAACGCCGUCUAAUACCGGAUACGACACACCGCCUCAUGGCGGUGUGUGGAAAGUUUUUCGGUCGGGGAUGGGCUCGCGGCCUAUCAGCUUGUUGGUGGGGUAACGGCCUACCAAGGCGAUUACGGGUAGCCGGCCUGAGAGGGCGACCGGCCACACUGGGACUGAGACACGGCCCAGACUCCUGCGGGAGGCAGCAGUGGGGAAUAUUGCGCAAUGGGCGAAAGCCUGACGCAGCGACGCCGCGUGGGGGAUGACGGCCUUCGGGUUGUAAACCUCUUUUACCACCAACGCAGGCUCCCAGUUCUCUGGGGGUUGACGGUAGGUGGGGAAUAAGGACCGGCUAACUACGUGCCAGCAGCCGCGGUAAUACGUAGGGUCCGAGCGUUGUCCGGAAUUAUUGGGCGUAAAGAGCUCGUAGGCGGCGUGUCGCGUCUGCUGUGAAAGACCGGGGCUUAACUCCGGUUCUGCAGUGGAUACGGGCAUGCUAGAGGUAGGUAGGGGAGACUGGAAUUCCUGGUGUAGCGGUGAAAUGCGCAGAUAUCAGGAGGAACACCGGUGGCGAAGGCGGGUCUCUGGGCCUUACCUGACGCUGAGGAGCGAAAGCAUGGGGAGCGAACAGGAUUAGAUACCCUGGUAGUCCAUGCCGUAAACGUUGGGCGCUAGGUGUGGGGACUUUCCACGGUUUCCGCGCCGCAGCUAACGCAUUAAGCGCCCCGCCUGGGGAGUACGGCCGCAAGGCUAAAACUCAAAGGAAUUGACGGGGGCCCGCACAAGCGGCGGAGCAUGUUGCUUAAUUCGACGCAACGCGAAGAACCUUACCAAGGUUUGACAUCGCCCGUGGACCUGUAGAGAUACAGGGUCAUUUAGUUGGUG